AGAGUUUUAUCCUGGCUCAGGAUGAACGCUAGCGGCAGGCUUAACACAUGCAAGUCGAGGGGCAGCGGGGAGGAAGCUUGCUUUCUCCGCCGGCGACCGGCGCACGGAUGAGUAACACGUAUGCAACCUGCCCCUGUCAGGGGGACAACCCGCCGAAAGGCGGGCUAAACCCGCGUACAUGCCACCGGGGCAUCCCGGAGGCAGGAAAGGCUUCGGCCGGACAGGGAUGGGCAUGCGGCGCAUUAGGCAGUAGGCGGGGUAACGGCCCACCUAACCGACGAUGCGUAGGGGUUCUGAGAGGAAGGUCCCCCACACUGGUACUGAGACACGGACCAGACUCCUACGGGAGGCAGCAGUGAGGAAUAUUGGUCAAUGGUCGGGAGACUGAACCAGCCAAGCCGCGUGAGGGAGGAAGGUACAGAGUAUCGUAAACCUCUUUUGUCAGGGAACAAAGGCGGGGACGUGUCCCCGGAUGAGUGUACCUGAAGAAAAAGCAUCGGCUAACUCCGUGCCAGCAGCCGCGGUAAUACGGAGGAUGCGAGCGUUAUCCGGAUUUAUUGGGUUUAAAGGGUGCGCAGGCGGACUGUUAAGUCAGCGGUAAAAUGUCGGUGCUCAACACCGGCCGGCCGUUGAAACUGGCAGCCUUGAGUGAGCGAGAAGUAUGCGGAAUGCGUGGUGUAGCGGUGAAAUGCAUAGAUAUCACGCAGAACUCCGAUUGCGAAGGCAGCAUACCGGCGCUCAACUGACGCUCAGGCACGAAAGCGUGGGUAUCGAACAGGCUUAGAUACCCUGGCAGUCCACGCAGUAAACGAUGAAUGCUCACUGUCCGGGCCGUUUAAGGCCUGGGUGGUCAAGCGAAAGCGUUAAGCAUUCCACCUGGGGGAGUACGCCGGCAACGGUGAAACUCAAAGGAAUUGACGGGGGCCCGCACAAGCGGAGGAACAUGUGGUUUAAUUCGAUGAUACGCGAGGAACCUUACCCGGGCUCAAACGGAAGGGGACAGUAUGAGAAAUCAUACAUUCCUUCGGGACCGCUUCCGAGGUGCUGCAUGGUUGUCGUCAGCUCGUGCCGUGAGGUGUCGGCUUAAGUGCCAUAACGAGCGCAACCCCUAUCGACAGUUGCUAGCAGGUAAAGCUGAGGACUCUGUCGAGACUGCCGGCGCAAGCUGUGAGGAAGGCGGGGAUGACGUCAAAUCAGCACGGCCCUUACGUCCGGGGCGACACACGUGUUACAAUGGCAGGUACAGCGGGAAGCCACCCGGCGACGGGGCGCAGAACCCGAAAACCUGUCUCAGUUCGGAUUGGAGUCUGCAACCCGACUCCAUGAAGCUGGAUUCGCUAGUAAUCGCGCAUCAGCCACGGCGCGGUGAAUACGUUCCCGGGCCUUGCACACACCGCCC
rnacentral:rRNA from 1 species